ACAAGUCACCAUAGAAAAUGACAUCAUCCGUGCUAAGAGAAAGAAGGGAGUCACUAAAAAUUUUGAACCAAGACCAAAUGUUUCAAAAUAUGAAGAUAAUGACAUUAAUGCUGAGGAAAAGAAGAGAGUCGUCAAAGACUUUGAACCAAGACCUAAUGUUUCAGCUUAUGGAGCAAAUGAAAUUGAUGCUAAGGAUAAGAAGGGAGUUAUUGAUGAUUUUGAACCAAGACCCAAUGUUUCAGCUUAUGGAGACAAUGACGUUGAAGCUAAGAAAAAGAAGGGAAUCACUGAAGAUUUUGAACCAAGAUACAAUGUUUCAGCAUAUGGAGACAAUGGUGUAGAAGUUAAGGGAAAGAAGAAAGUCGUUAAAGAUUUCAAACCAAGACCAAAUGUUUCAGCUUAUGGAGACAAUGGUAUUGAUGUUAAGGAAAAUAAAGGAGCCAAUACGGAUUUUGAACCAAGACCAAAUUACGUUUCAGCAUAUGGAGACAAUAAUAUUGAUGUUACAGAAAAUAAAGGAGCCAAUAAAGAUUUUGAACCAAGACCCAAUGUUUCUGCUUAUGGAGAUAGUGAUAUUGAUGUUAAGGAAAAUAAAGGAGUCAGUAAAGAUUUUGAACCAAGACCCAACGUUUCAACAUAUGGAAACAAUGAUAUCGAUGUUACAGAAAAUAAAGAAGUCAAUAAAGCUUUUGAACCAAGAGCCAACGUUUCAGCGUAUAAAAACAAUGACAUUGAUGUUAUGAAAAAGAAGAACGUUACCAAAGAUUUUGA
rnacentral:lncRNA from 1 species